GACGCGUGCCCAGAACUGUU
rnacentral:misc_RNA from 1 species